GGGGAUUUGGGGAAGAAAGGACUGGUCCUCCCCUAGACGGUUUCUGCCUGCUACAGCGUCCAUCUCAUCAACAAUGGAAAAACUGAACCCAAAGCAGCCACAGGACUCUGCAAGCCUGAGCACAGCUGUGUCCAAGAGGAGAUAUCCUCGCCAUCACUUGUGGACUUCCCUGCUGCAGGAGAGCCAGAGGCCAGUGUCUAUGCUGGCCAGUGUCCUAUCAAACUCAGCUACUUCCCACUCCUUAGAGGUGGAGAGAGUGAACAGCAUUUGGAAUGAUUUUCAAUUGUUAAACCAGCCUUGCAUUCUUGGAAUAAUUCCAACUUGGUUGUAAUGUAUUUUCCUUUUAAUAUGUUACUAGAUUCUGGUUGCUCACAUUUUGUUAAGAACUUUUGUACCUAAGUUCAUGAGGAAGAUAAAAAAUAAUUUUGUUGUAAUGUCUUUGUCAGUUUUAUUAUUAAGGCUAUUUAACCUCAUGCCAGGUUGAGAACAUGUUGGAAAAUGUACAUGAUUCUUCUUUUUUAUGCAUGAUGCAAUUUAAGCUCACUUCUCUACAGUCCUUUUUUCUCUGAGGUCUUGGCUUCACAAAUCCUGACUGCCUUAACAGCCUUAAAUUCCAAUUUUAUGUUUACCUCAGCUGUAAGCCUUUGGUCUCUGCUCUGUGACAUACAUCAUUAAGCACCCUGAGGAGAAAUGUGGUGGCCACCAUAGAGCUCACGUCUAUCUGUUCCUUUUCUUUCAGGAUCUUGGCCACUCAAAUCUUGGCUGCCUUUCAACAGCUUUUUAAAAUCUAGUUUUUUAUCGUUGUUCCUGGCAGGCACGAGUUAUUUAUCAUAACCAAAAUAGGAAGUCUAAUCUUCAUCUUUAAAGUUGACAUCAGAUUGGACCAUCUCUCAUUGUUCCUUCCUUGGUAAUAGAAUAUUGGGAUAGCAGUACCCACAAGAACGACUUCGUGGUAUAAGGCAAAGAUAUGAAGCAGUGAUUGCAUGAAGAGCAUCUGUAGCCAAGCCUGGGCUUGGAUUUCAGCUCUGCUACACCUAGACGUGUGAGUUUGAGAACUUUUCUACACUUCAGUACACACAUUAUAAUACGGAAUAACAACAGUAUCUACCUCAUAGGCUUAUUGGGAAGACUAGACCUAGUGAAAUAAUAUAUCUGAAAUAGGUACUCUGUGCCUUAAACGGGGUGAUAAAAUAAAGUGCUGG
rnacentral:lncRNA from 1 species